rnacentral:rRNA from 1 species
CACGGCGGGUGCUAACGUCCGUCGUGAAAAGGGAAACAACCCUAACCAUCAUCUAAGGCCCCCAAGUCACGGCUAAGUGGGAAACGAUGUGGGAUUGCUUUGACAAUCAGGAGGUUGGCUUAGAAGCAGCCAUCCUUUAAAGAAAGCGUAACAGCUCACUGAUCAAGCGAUCCUGCGCGGAAAAUGUAACGGGGCUCAAGCCGUGCGCCGAAGAUAUGGGUUUGCAGUUUACUGCAAGCGGUAGCGGAGCGUUCCGUAAGCCGGUGAAGGUCAGGCGUGAGCCUGGCUGGAGGUAUCGGAAGUGAGAAUGCUGACAUGAGUAACGAUAGGAGUGUGAGAGACACUCCCGCCGAAAGACCAAGGGUUCCUGCGUAAAGCUAAUCUGCGCAGGGUUAGUCGGCCCCUAAGGCGAGGCUGAAAAGCGUAGUCGAUGGGAAGCAGGUAAAUAUUCCUGCACCAGCUGGAAGUGACGGAUGGCAUAACUCGUACGCACUUAUUGGAUUGUGCGUGCGGGGGCGUUGUCCCUGGAAAUAACUCCAGCAGAGACCGUACCCGAAACCGACACAGGUGGUCAGGUCGAGUAGACCAAAGCGCUUGAGAGAACUCUGCUGAAGGAACUAGGCAAAAUGGUACCGUAACUUCGGGAGAAGGUACGCUGCCGACGGUGAUAGGAUUUACUCCUUGAGCUAUUGGCAGCCACAGAAACCAGGCCCCUGCAACUGUUUAUUAAAAACAUAGCACUCUGCAAACACGAAAGUGGACGUAUAGGGUGUGAUGCCUGCCCGGUGCUGGAAGGUUAAUUGAUGGGGUUAGCGUAAGCGAAGCUCUUGAUCGAAGCCCCAGUAAACGGCGGCCGUAACAAUAACGGUCCUAAGGUAGCGAAAUUCCUUGUCGGGUAAGUUCCGACCUGCACGAAUGGCGUAACGCUGGCCCUACUGUCUCGACCCGAGACUCAGUGAAGUUGAAAUCGCUGUGAAGAUGCGGCGUAGCUGCGGAAAGACGGAAAGACCCCGUGAACCUUUACUACAGCUUUACAC